ensembl:lncRNA
AAAAAAAGGCCAUACUGUGUAGUUAGGAGGAUGAAGAGAACUGCCAACUAUGUUAAGCACCGGGAGCGAGCAGCAUGGAAUUCUGGGAAACAAGAACAAUAUGAGCCUCAGAUGUCUCCUCACACACACACACUGUGUGGCGACACGCAUCUCUGCGUGCCUGGCAGAUAUCUCAGCUUGGAUGUUGGCCCACCACCUCAAGCUCAACCUCGACAAGACGGAGCUGCUCUUCCUCCCGGAGAAGGCCUGUCCACUCAAGUCCUCUCAUUUACCGUUGACAGCUCCACAGUGUUGUCCUUCCAGAGUGCAAAUAACCUUGGCUUGACCCUGGACAACACUGUCGUUCUCUGCAAACAUCAAAGCAGUGACUCGCUCCUGCAGGUUCAUGCUCUACAACAUUCGUAGAGUACGACCCUUCCUCACGCAGUUUGCUGGACUACUGCAACUCACUGUUGACUGGACUCCUUGCUUGUAUCAUCAAACCCAUCAUCAAGUUAUCCAGAACGCUGCAGCCUGCCAGGUUUUCAACCUUCCCAAGUUCUCCCAUGUCACCCCGCUCCUCCGUACACUUUCUCACAUCCAAUACGAGACCACGGCGCUUGCCUACGGAGCAGCAGCAAGAGGAAGUUCUCUCUUCUCUGUCCUGUCACCCCAAUGGUGGAACCAGCUUCUCCAUGAAGCUACAACAGAAGAGUCCCUGCCCAUCUUCCGAAUGCACCUCUUCAAAGAGUAUCUUAAAUACAAA